rnacentral:rRNA from 1 species
UGCACGUCGAACGAGAUACUCUUCGGAGUAGUAAAGUGGCGCACGGGUGAGUAAGACAUGGGUAACCUGCCUUUGAGUGGGGAAUAACCAACCGAAAGGUUGGCUAAUGCCGCAUACGGUUCCUUAGCUUCGGGUAAGGAAUAAAAGCUACAUCGUGGAUAUAGCGCUUAGAGAGGGGCUCAUGGCCUAUCAGCUUGUUGGUAGGGUAAUGGCCUACCAAGGCAACGACGGGUAGCUGGUCUGAGAGGACGAUCAGCCACACUGGCACUGAGAUACGGGCCAGACUCCUACGGGAGGCAGCAGUGAGGAAUAUUGCGCAGUGGGCGAAAGCCUGACGCAGCGACGCCGCGUGGGGGAAGAAGGUUUUCGGAUUGUAAACCCCUUUUAGGAGGAAAGAUGAGAUGUGUAAGCAUCUUGACGGUACCUCCAAAAAAAGCCACGGCUAACUUCGUGCCAGCAGCCGCGGUAAUACGAAGGUGGCGAGCGUUGUUCGGAUUUACUGGGCGUAAAGAGCACGUAGGCGGUUUGAUAAGACCUUUGUGAAAGCUCCGGGCUUAACCCGGAAAGGUCAGGGGUGACUGUCAAGCUAGAGGGCGGGAGAGGAGUGUGGAAUUCCCGGUGUAGCGGUGAAAUGCGUAUAUAUCGGGAAGAAGGCCUGUGGCGAAGGCGGCACUCUGGAACGUCUCUGACGCUAAGGUGCGAAGGCGUGGGGAGCAAACAGGAUUAGAUACCCUGGUAGUCCACGCUGUAAACGAUGGGCACUAAGUGUCGGCAGAUUACUGUCGGUACCGCAGCUAACGCAGUAAGUGCCCCGCCUGGGGAGUACGUCCGCAAGGUUGAAACUCAAAGGAAUUGACGGGGGCCCGCACAAGCGGUGGAGCAUGUGGUUUAAUUCGACGCA